UGCUAGUCGAGCGCUUCAAGCCAAAAAGAGGCGCGGCAUACAGCUCAGUAACACGUGGCUAAUCUGCCCUUGGGAUAGGAAUAACCCCGGGAAACUGGGGCUAAUUCCCAAUAGGCGAAGAACUCUGGAAUGAGUCUUUACCAGAAAAGACGCUUGCGUUAUGCUCGUAGGCGUCGCCCAAGGAUGAGGCCGCGACCGAUCAGGUUGUUGGUGAGGUAAUGGCUCACCAAGCCUUUUACCGGUGCGGGCCGUGAGAGCGGGAGCCCGGAGAUGGGCACUGAGACAAGGGCCCAGGCCCUACGGGGCGCAGCAGUCGCGAAAACUUUGCAAUAAGCGAAAGCUUGACAGGGCUAUCCCGAGUGCCAUCCGCUGAGGAAGGCUUUUACCCAGUCUAGAACGCUGGGGGAAUAAGGAGAGGGCAAGUCUGGUGUCAGCCGCCGCGGUAAUACCAGCUCUCCGAGUGGUGUGGAUGUUUAUUGGGCCUAAAGCAUCCGUAGCUGGCUAAGUUAGUCCCUUGUUAAAUCCACCGAAUUAAUCGUUGGAUUGCGGGGGAUACUGCUUGGCUAGGGGACGAGAGAGGCAGACGGUAUUUCCGGGGUAGGGGUGAAAUCCUAUAAUCCCGGGAAGACCACCAGUGGCGAAGGCUGUCUGCUAGAACGCGCCCGACGGUGAGGGAUGAAAGCUGGGGGAGCGAACCGGAUUAGAUACCCGGGUAGUCCCAGCUGUAAACGAUGCAGGCUAGGUGUUUGGACGGCCACGUGCCGUUCUAGUGCCGCAGGGAAGCUGUUAAGCCUGCCGCCUGGGGAGUACGAUCGCAAGAUUGAAACUUAA
rnacentral:rRNA from 1 species